rnacentral:lncRNA from 1 species
AGAGGGCCCAGCUGCGCCAUUAGCGCGUGCGAGGGAAAAUGGAGGCUCCUGGUCCCACCCGCGCACCGGCGCCUGCGCCCUGGGCGCCCACCCCGGCCCGCGAGGCGGCCACGGCCGGAGAGAGAGGGCAAGGGAACCAGUGCCGUGUCGCGCCCCACCCUGCGCCCGAGCGCAGUGCCGGCGAGCCCGGCUCCGGCCCUUGAGAGUCCGCUCCAGGCCGCUCCACACCACGAGCCGCUCCGCAAGUUUGCAGCGCUCCGUGCUUUCCCUCCAGCCCUUUGUGUUCUAGCGCGCGUCGGAAGGAACGCGGGAACGCGCGCCGUGCUGUGCGCCUGCGCAAGGGUUCAGGCGGUGCGCCAAGCCUGGAGUCAAGAGUGGGCGAGGCUCUCGGCCGCUCCGCCCCGGGCCGCCUUCGCUCCGCCCCUCGCCCGCCAUUUCGUGCUCCGCCGCGUCUCCCGCGUCUGGGGCGCGGCUUCCGCGUGAUGGACGCCCGGAAGCCGGCACAACAAAUGCCCAAGCGCCAGGGCUUCGCUGUCUGCAGGUCCUUCCGCUGCCCGCGGAGCGAAGAUGGCGCCUAGAGCUUGCAGCGUUGCCCAAAUAUGGGGGGAAUUAGGCGCCUCUACCUCCUCAAGAAGGGUCUGCCGGCUGACCUCGGGGGUGUGCACGUCCUUCUGUGUGCAGAACCCUGGGGCGUGCGCCUUUCUGUAUGUGCACAACCUCGGAAGUGUGCGCAUACCCUUGCUUACACUCCCUAGCACGCACACCAAAACUCUGGCAUGCACGAACCCGCGGGUUUCCAUGUUUUCGUAUGUGCACGACCUCGAGGAUGUACUUGGACCCGAGAAUGUCCGCAUUUGUGUUUGCACAGGUCCGGGUGUGCACGGACACGUGCAUUCAGGAAUGUAGUGGUUCACAGAAGCCGCUGUUUGCGCGGCCCGGGGAUGUACGUGGACCCUCGAGUGCUAGCCCCGCCUCCGCUGUCUGUGGCCCGCGAACACGAUCUUGUUUCCGGCCUGUUUUGGAUUCAUUUGCACUUGCCCAGUUUACAUGCAAAGCAUAAUCUGCCGACCACCCCAAGCAAUUUUUAAUCUUUCCUUCGUUCUUUCUUCACUGAUUUUUUGGCUCCUGCCCUGGACCCAACUUUGCACUUGGGCGCACACGGUGAUAGUGACGCAGAGCAUGAAGCCAGUGGGAGAAACGCCUAGAAAUAGGCAGUUAGGACAACCUGAGACCACUGUGAAGGAGGCGCUUGGCUUGUCAAUGACAGGGGAAGCGGCCUGGAGGAAGCCGUGAGCCGAGACCAGGGCAUGGGGUAGAGGGAAUAGGGUAAUGGGCCCAGGACUGUUUGGGGAGGCAUUCAGUCUCAUUUGAGAGGAUGGUGGGUGGAAGCAGAGGAGGCAGGUCAUGGAGAGGAGUGUGUGGGGAAGGGACCUGUUGGUGAGGCUCGGGGGGCAGAAGACUUGGGCAGGCGUCUGAAGUGAGAGCUCGCAUGGACUGGCCUCCCUAGGGAGCAGUGGGGAGAAGCAGCUGGGGCCUGGGGGUAGAGCCCGUGUGCCCACUGUUGACACCUUCGCGGGCUACUGCUCCUCGUGGCUUCUGUAUGGAGCACAGGCCUCUUUCCGGGAGAGGGACUCGGACUGCAGGCUCCAGCCCUGCACUGCCAUGAAAGGCCUGGGCAGGUUGUCUGCAUAAGAACAGUACCUCUGGUGGUGGAAAUGGAGGGAGACGCCACGGCACAGAGGACCUGUCCCAGACACGCGGGAUGGCAAGCAUCAGAGCUGGAGUGACUGCCGAGGUCCCCUGGUGAGGCCCUCCUUGUCUCUCCCUCAGCAGCCUAGUCCCCUCUGAUUUUUUUUUUUUCUUUUUUGAGACGGAGUCUCUGUCGCCCAGGCUGGAGUGCAGUUGGCACCGUGUAGGCUCACUGCAACCUCUGUCUGCUGGGUUCAGGCACUCCUGACCUCAGGUGAUCCACCCGCCUCGGCCUUCCAGAGUGCUUGGGAUUACAGAUGUGAGCCACCGCGCCCGGCCCGUCCUCUGUUUAUGGUUACGGGUACUCUCCAGUCAUGCUCACGGAAAACCUCUCCCUGGAGGUGUCUGCGUUUGCCUUGAGAAUCCCUCUCCACGAGGUCCCCAAUGUGUCUGUCCCCAGCUCAUUGGAACAUGUCUCAGGGAGCAGGGGCCACUUCGCACACUUUGCAGGACAGCCUUUUUGCUGUAGGCCAGAUCUUUUUUCUUUUUCCUUUUUUUGGAGACAGAGUCUUGUUCUCUUGCCCAGGCUGGAGUGCAGGUAAUAUGAUCUCAGCUUACUGCAACCUCCACCACCUGGGUUCAAGCGAUUCUCAUGCCUCAGCCUCCUGAGCAACUGGGAUUAUAGGCAUGUAUCACCACACCUGGCUAAUUUUUGUAUUUUUAGUAGAAAUGGGGUUUCACUAUGUUGGCCAGGCUGGUCUCGAACUCCUGGCCUCAAGUGAACCACCCGCCUCAGCCUCCCAAAGUGCUGGGAUUACAGGCACUAGCCAAUGCACCCGUCCUAGGCCAGAUUUUUUUUUUUUUAAUCUGAAAUGAAGGUUUUUUUUCAGUCACCCAGAAGACACUUUUUUGUUUUGAGAGAGAGUCUUGCUUUAUUGCCCAGGCUGGAGUGCAGAGGUGCAAUUUCGGGAUUACAGGCACAUGCUACCACGCCUGCCUAGUUUUUUGUCUUUUUAGUAGAGACGGGGUUUUCUUGGCCAGGCUGGUCUCAAACUCCUGACCUCAGAUGAUAUUCCCGCUUCAGCCUCCCAAAGUGCUAGGAUUACAGGCGUGUUCCACCGCGCCCAGCCUAGACCAGAUCUGUUUUAUCUGAAACGGAAAUGAAGGCUUUUUUUCUGUCACCCAAAAGAUACUUUCUGAGCACAUGGUCUGUUAAGCCUCUGUCUGGACUAGAGAUAGAGCUGUGGAGCAGUUCCUGCCUCUAAGGAACAUACAGGCCCAAGUCCCAGGACAUGAGGGUCCAGAAGCAGACAAACAGCUUCUUUCCACUGAACCUGGACCUGCCUUCACCCUCCCCACCCAGCCCCGUGCAUCUUGAAUUAAAACAGAGAAGCUGGGGAUUGGAUGGCGGCAGGCCCUUCUCCCCACCAAGAGAGUGGCCCUGCCAGGCACUGCCUUCCUCUUUCCCAGGCCUGGGAAUUGCCCCCAGCCCCUGCUUCUGGGAGUAACGGGGAGUUGACUGCACUCUGGGACACCAGUUGGGACCCUCCUCAGAAGGGGAUGGGGACAGUCCUCAGUGCAGGGCAGUCUGCGGGGGAGGCCAUGGUGGGGCUAUCCCACUGACCUCCCUCAGCACCAUAUCUGGACAGCCGUGCCACCCUGGGAGGUGGGGUGAGGGGGCCAGUGUCUAGCCGUCUAGCUGUUGUUCCCGUGACACUCAGGCCUCAGGGCAGGUUGUGCCACUUUCAUCCACCAGCAGGGCCAAGGCCUGGAGCCCGCAGGGCACCAAUUCUGAGAUCUGCUCUAAACAAGGCCUGCAUCCUUCAAAGUUGGUGAGGUGGUCUCUUCUCCUGUAGGACAGGCAGGUUUCCUACUUUCCCCAAAGGCCCCAGGACUUGGGUGAUGUCCUUCUCCGUCAACGGUCCUCUCCUUCAGCACAAGGCUCCAGAGGCAGCUCCCCAUCCCACCCCACUCCUGAGCAGGCGGCCGGAGCUGCCCCCUCUGAAUGCCACGCUGGGCAAGGGGUCCGUGCCUGGGAAACACCUGGUGGGCAAUGCUCUGGCCUCAAGAAUAAACAACGGGGAUCUAGAUGAUGCCACCGUCCUCAGUCUCUGACCUCCAAAGGAGCCACAUUCAAGAGAAGGGAGGUCCCUCCACAAAUGAGACAGCAGAAGAAUAAAUGCUACCCUGUGCCUGCCGACUUCCUGCAGAGGUCUGUGGGCUCGUGUAAAUAAUUGAAUGGAAAACUUCAGAAGGAAGGCAGCCCACGGGAGCCUGGCCUUGCCCGCCAGAAAGCAGGUUAUAAAAUGUUUCCCAUGUAAGUGGUGGCUGGGGGUAGUCAGGAGGCCUAGUUACAACCCCGAGAAGUAAGGCUGCCCUGGGCUCCCAGGGGAAACACUGGGCUGGGUGGGUGGGCGCUCUUCAGGGAGUAGAUUCCUCCCGGCCACCCUCAGCUCCUAGUCUCUUGGGUGUGGUAGCUCCAAGAUCUCAAAGCCCAAUCGCCGAGCCCGGUGGUUUCCGAUGUGUCCUACCCUCCCUCCUGCUGCACAUGCAGCUUGCAUUGCUGGGGAGUAAGGGGAGAUGAUUUCCGGCCAGCACAGGCAAAGCCAGGCAGGGAGUCCCCUGAGGCGGCGCAGCAGGAGGACCACCAAGUGUGGCCCAUACGCCCGGCAUCCGGCCCUCUCCCUGCCUUGUCCUCAGCUGAGGCCUGAGGUGAAUUGUAGGCUGGGCCGAUUCCCCACCCCUGGCCUCAGGGCGGUUCCUCCUGGGUCCAACUGCCCCAGCCCAGGCCAUCUGGGAGGCAGGCUGGGCGGGGAGAGAGGGAGGGAGGACGUGUGUGAGCCACUGCCCAGCCCCCGAGGCACAAACAUUUCCUUAUGUGGUGGCUCUGAGUGCCCGGGCGACACCCUAGAGGCUGCUGGGGAGGGCCAGGGCCGGACACACCCUGGGUGAUCGCAGAAGCAGAGCCCCUGCCCAACAGGAUCUUGGCCUCAUCUUGUGGAGGAACGGACCCCCACCUGGCUCUUUGUCCCCUGGAGUGGCCCACAAUCCCCUAGGAGGAAGUGGUCACUGCUUCUGUACGGGAUGUUUCCCCAAAUUCCCCGUGUUUGCAAGAGAAACUGUGAGAUUAGAGGUACAGCAGAGACCCCAGCCCCGGGACAGGAAGGGGUGAAGGGUGGGCUGGCAGGCCCCUAGCCUCAGGGUGCGCCUCCCGCACCGCCCCCCACUCAGCACCAGGCACGGCGCUACUCCCUUUGUUUCCGGCAGGCUUUGGGAGCUAUAUUUGGCUGUGGGGGGAUAACAGGGUGACUCAUGGGAGGGACGGCCCGGGGUGGGAAGUGGAGGAGCUGUGUCUCUGGAAAUGCGGCUCCCUCUGUUCCCAAGCCUGCCGCAGGUGCUAGCCCUCCGUGAGCGCUGAAAGCAAAACAGCCAACAACGCCAGGGCUCCCACCUGUAAUCUCAGCACUUUGGGAGGCCGAGGGGGGCAGAUUGCUUGAGCCCAGGAGUUUGAGACCAACCUGGCCAGCACAGUGAGACCCCGUCUCUACAGAAAAAAAUUAGCCAGGUGUGACGGUGCACGCCUGUGGUCCCAGCUACUCUGGAUGCUGAGGCAGGAGAAUCACCUGAGCCUAGAAGUUCAAGGCUGGAGAGAGCCGAGAUCACGCCACUACACUCCAGCCUGGGCAACAAAAUAAGACCCUAUCUCAAAAAAAAAAGAAAGAAAGAGAAAAGAAAAAGAAACUGGGCAGACCCAGCAUAGCUGCCUCCCACAGCAACGCAAGGCUGCAUGGUCCCUGCACUUGCUCUCGGGGUGUAGGACAUUGACCUCAGGGGGCACCCCAGCUGUCCAGAGUCUGGUUAGCACACCCCAGGCCUGAUCCCCUGGGAUGUCUACUCAGACCCCCGAACUGCCCUAGCUUCUCAGGCCAGUGUCAUUUCUCCAAGGUGACAGCCUUUAAAGCAGAUUUGAAUGGCUGACAGGGCGUGUUCCCCAUGGGAUAUGUAUUUUAUUGUUGUUUUAUGGCUUUUUUUUUUUUUCUUGAGACAGAGUCUCACUCUGUCGCUCAGGCUGAAGUGCAAUGGAGCAAUCUCGGCUCACUGCAACCUCUGCCUCCUGGGUUCAAGCGAUUGUCCUGCCUCAGCUUCCCAAGUAGCUGGGAUUAUAAGCACCUGCCACCAUACCUGGAGAAUUUUUUUUGUUUUGUUUUGUUUUUUGAGACACACCUGGCUAAUUUUUGUUUUUGUUGUUGUUUGUUUUUUUUUUUUGAGACAGAGUUUCCCUCUUGUUGCCCAGGCUGGAGUGCAACGGUGCAAUCUCGGCUCACUGCAACCUCCGCUUCCCAGGUUCAAGCAAUUCUCCUGCCUCAGCCUCCCAAGUAGCUGGGAUUACAGGCACGUGCCACCACACCCAGCUAAUUUUGUAUUUUUAGUAGAGAUGGGGUUUCUCCAUGUUGGUCAGGCUGGUCUCGACCACCUGACUUCAGGUGAUCCGCCUGCCUCGGCCUCCCAAAGUGCUGAGAUUACAGGCAUGAUGAGCCACUGCGCCCGGCAUUUUUGUAUUUUUAGUAGAAAUGGGGUUUCACCAUGUUGGCUGGGCUGGUCUCGAACUCCUGACCUCAGGUGAUCUGCCUGCCUUGGCCUCCCAAAGUGUUGGGAUUACAGGCAUGAGCCACCGUGCCUGGCCAGGAUAUUUUUUAAAUGGGGCUCCAGUAAGAAAUGUGCUCAUUCCAGUGCAUCUUGAAUUGGUCUGAUUUCAGGGAGUAUAUAGGUUGAGGCUGACUCCGAAAGUUAACCCUGGUCUAGGAGGCCUUGGCAUGCCAGCACCGCCAGUACCACCCCCACCGGGCUGAGGGGAUGAGCCUGCUGGGCCUGGCUGCCAGCUGGCCCUGCGACUCCCAUCUUUUCUCCGACAGCCCCUUGAUGCUCGGCUCCCCGGGGUCUGUCCUUGGUCCCUCAGUCAAGGGACAUCCAUCUCUAAAUUGCCUUCCUCCCUUGGUCAAGGGACAUGCAUCUCUAAAGUGCCUUCCUCCCAGCGACUACCCUUACCACCUGACACUGGGAAAGUCACCUCCUGCCUCAGAGCUCCCAUUGGCCCCAGCCCAACUUGCCCCAUCCUGAUUCAGUGGGAAUGGGUAGGAUUCAAGCCCCCCAGUUCGAGACCCAGUCUUCUGUGGUACACUAGGAUCCCAGAGCUGAAGUAGAGAAUCUGGUUAAUACAUCAGUGUACAGACUCUUCAGUUUUAAGAUUCUCUUUCCAUACUGGGGGAGGUCUCAGGAAUCUGUAGAAGGUAGAUGGGGAAAUGGACACUCAGAAGCAUCAGACACUUCACAAUCCAGAUGCUGAUAAAAUGGCCAAACCUUGGUGUUCAAAGGGAUCUUAGUGGUCAUCUCAUUCAACCCAACUACCCAAAGCAGAAAUCUCUUCUACUGCUUCCUUGAUUGCUUCCAGCAGCGGGGAACUCACUGCCUUGGUAUGGUUUUGUUUUGCUUCUUGUUUUUGAGAUAGUCUCUCUUUGUCACCUAGGCUGGAUUGCAGUGGCAUGAUCAUGGCUCACUGCAGCCUUGACUUCCUGGGCUUGAGCGAUCCUACCUUCUCAAUCCACUCCCCCUCAAAGUAGCUGGGACUAUAGGUGUGUGCCACCAUGCCCCACUUAUUUCUGUAUUUUUAGCAGAGGCAGGGUUUUGCCAUGUUGCCCAGGCCAGUCUUGAACUCCUAGGCUCAAGUGAUCCUUCUGCCUUGGCCUCCCAAAGUGCUGGGAUUACGGGUGCGAGCCACCACGCCCGGCGGGUGUGUUCUGUCUUAUACUUAAAGGAAUUAAAAUUUUCCUCCUUCAGCGUCUGUCCUCGUGGUCCUUGUUCUGUGUGUUCUGUGAAAGCAGAGUUACAGGGUGGUUUGCUACCCGCUGCAUCCCACCACCUCAUACAAAGCUGGGAUGUAGCGAUGUUCAAUGGAUAUGCUGCCGGAAUGAUGGAUGAAGCAAUACUGAAUGUUAGCCAUGGUGCUGCCUUGCAGUCAUCUACUCUAGGCUAUACAGCACCAUCUCACAUAUGACAGACAGGGUUUCCAGAACAUUCCUCAUCCUUCCCACGCCUCUACCACAUGCAGGUUGCAGAGUUCUUUUGAGCAGUGGGCCCUCUGCAGUGAACUCAGUUUUCCAGGACUGUCCUGAAUGGCACAGAAGUGGAGUGGGGCAUGCCACCCCUCGGGGUGCACUCCAUGCUGCUGUCCGCACAACCUGCCCUGCGAGGGCUUAUUUCAGCAUCACGCCAUAGGUGCAUCUCUCUGAGCCCCAGGCUGGUCCUUGGUGCAGCAGAGAUGCAACUUUAACUUCCAGAGUUUUAGCAAAGCAUGGGGCUCCUUGCUUUGUAUGGCAAUGGUACCACACCUUGGAAGAGGGCAGCCCCAGGCCCUCCUAGGUGGAACCUGUUCAAGGGGCCAACAGUCUCGUUGUGGGGCAAGAAGAUGCCAGAGUGUGCCCCUUGCUUAGUUUCCUCAGUGAGCGAGACCUGGCAUUGGGGGUCUCCCAGUCCCCAAGCUGAGAGACCCAUAACCAGGUCAUCAGCAGUUGUCUGACUGUGGGUGGAGGAGCCCCUGGGCCCCAGGGCUUCCAGGCACUGUGGCUCAGCUUUGCCGGCCCAGAGAGCCACAUAGGCAUGAGGUAGUUGUGAACACACAGUUCUGGGUUAAUAAGUGUUUGCUGACUGACUCCCAAGGGCUAGGAGGUGGGGAACUGCCACAGGCUGGUGGCUGGCAGACUUCAUAUGGCACCUGGGACGCUGGGGGGUCCUGGUCCCCUCUGCCGUGAGGGGCCAGGUCAAACUCAUCCCUCU